CAUUAUUACAUCUCUUAUCAUAAAAACUAAGGCAUAAGUGGCAACAUUAACAAUUCCAUCAUUACGCAAUGAAAUUAUAUCUUGAUAUCCAAUAACACGAUCAUGUGCACUUGAAUAUUGCAAUUUAGGCCUUAUAGCUAGUUCAUACACCAUAAGUAUGCAUAGCUUCUGCACCUCUGUUUGUUUUAUUAUUUUCAAUUUCAAAGCAUUAAAAAUUUGUUCACUGAAUCCAGGAUUAUCACGCAUACCUUGUAUAGACCGACUCAAAGUUCUGACUGAGAUACAAAAAUUUCUUCAAAAUUCUAUAUGCUCUUGGACUUGCCAAAUAUAUAUGAAAUGCAAAAUCCUUCUCACCUGGUGUCCAACAUCUACCCAAAGGAGACAAAGAUGAAUUCUUUAUCUGAGCAGCAAUAAUAUUAAAUAGUUUUGGACUUACAUGAGCUUUUAAUUCUUUCAGGAGUAUUUGUUUCGAGUAAUUAUUUAUUUUGUUCUGAAAAAAUAUAAGGAUUUUCAAUAAGGGCGGGUCGAUGUUGAAAUGGAAUAAAACAAGCUGUGUGUGAGGAAAACGAAAUUCUUUUUUCAUUUGAAAGGCCC
rnacentral:lncRNA from 1 species